rnacentral:ncRNA from 1 species
AAAAUGACGUUGACGAGGAGUAUUAAGAACGAAAAAGUUUCAGAGAGCUGUCGGACGGUGCAAGACAGUAUUUGGAAGUUCCCAACUCGCCUCUGAGUUUUCUGGUUGAAACAAUUAACAGCAAAGUAGAUCAGAACGUGUGGUUCGCGUUAAGAAUGUGAGUGCGUAUUUAGAUGAACAGUUUCAUCUGGCGAAUGAGAGUGGUACCACGGAGUGAAUAGAUAUCUUCGUCUCUUUA